rnacentral:piRNA from 1 species
UAGGGGUUUCUAUGGAAUUGGU